CCUACGGGAGGCAGCAGUGGGGAAUAUUGCACAAUGGGGGAAACCCUGAUGCAGCGACGCCGCGUGAGUGAAGAAGUAAUUCGUGAUUUAAAGCUCUAUCAGUAGGGAAGUAAAUUACGGUACCUGAGUAAUAAGCUCCGGCUAACUACGUUCCAGCAGCCGCGGUAAAACGUAGGGAGCAAGCGUUAUCCGGAUUUACUGGGUGUAAAGGGGGGGUAGACGGCAGUGCAAGUAUGGAGUAAAAUGCGCGGCUCAACCCCCGGAUUGCACUGGAAACUGUACGGCUGGAGUUCAGUAGAGGUAAGUGGAAUUCGUAGUGUAGCGGUGAAAUGCGUAGAUAUUAGGAGGAACACCAGUUGCGAAGGCAGCUCUCUGGACUGUAACUGACACUGAGGCACGAAAGCGUGGGGAGCAAACAGGAUUAGAUACCCCAGUAGUC
rnacentral:rRNA from 1 species